CAGGCCCUGGCUGGCCCGUCUCUCCUCGAGGUCCUGUCUGACCAGGGAACCCAACAACACCAGGAGCACCGGGGGCACCAGGGGGGCCCAAGUCUCCCUGAAACAGAUUCAAAGGAGGAGUGGUCGCACAAAGACACCUUCCCAGGGCCGACACCUAAGAGCAGUGAAGGCACAGAGAAUCAGCAGGCCUGAAGCUGCUACAACUCAUCCGCGAGGCCCCGAGGACACCGCUUGUCUCUUAGGGCCCCACUGGACCCUCCAUCAGCUUCUGAACAACCUACCUUGAUGCCAGCAGUUUCCAGCAAACGCUCCGCGUUCUGAGGACACAAAGAUGGAGGACCUUGUGGGCCUGGAGCACCGGUCCUGCCCUGAGUGAGGAGAGCAGG
rnacentral:lncRNA from 1 species